UACGGAGGGUGCAAGCGUUAUCCGGAUUCACUGGGUUUAAAGGGUGCGUAGGUGGGUUGGUAAGUCAGUGGUGAAAUCUCCAGGCUUAACUUGGAAACUGCCAUUGAUACUAUCAAUCUUGAAUACCGUGGAGGUCAGCGGAAUAUGUCAUGUAGCGGUGAAAUGCUUAGAUAUGACAUAGAACACCAAUUGCGAAGGCAGCUGGCUACGCGGAUAUUGACACUGAUGCACGAAAGCGUGGGGGAUCAAAACAGG
rnacentral:rRNA from 1 species